CCUCCCGCCGGCCCCGGGCGCGCCCUCGCUCUCCGCCCCGCACGCCCGCGCCGCGCCGCCGCCUCCGGGACGCCGCCGAGCCCGCGCCCGCUCCCCGGGGUCCGGGAAAGGGGCCCAAUCCCAACUGGUUACCCAUCGUCGUCAACUGCUGUCCAGAAGCAGGCGAUGCUCCCGACAUAUCAUCAGAAGGUCAAUAAGAGCCUGACACUAGGUCACAAUGUCUACAUCAUUCCCCUCACUUCAUGUCAUUGCGUAAGAAUUUUAUCAUCUCACAUCAUCACAAGAAGAAAGGUUUUGGCACUAUCUGUGGUUUCCUUGGAGCACAUUUCCCACAUAGAAGGGGAUACCACCGUACAGAAACAGAUGACAAUGCAGAGAGUGAGACUAGAAGAAAGAAAACGCUGAGCAGAGCUGGGCAGACUGGGCACUCCAUUUUUCUGAAACGACGGUGCAGAUUUCUAAUGCCACUGGCCUCAAGACAGACUUAUUUGUUAAACUGACGAGCUGCAGCCCUACUUUCCUCAUUGUUGAAAUGAAACGCUGAAAACUCCCUCCAGUGCAAAUCCUUUUCACAAAAGGCAAUCCAAGUCAACUGCCCUAAAGAUUACAGCUUAUAAACUUGUAAGGGCGACAAGCUACACAUACAUAUGUAAUAAAAUGUGCCUCGGAAGAGUGGGGGGGGGGGGGGAGAGUGUGUGUGUGUGUGUGUGUGUGUGUGUGUUAGAGAGACAGAGAGACCUUGUCAUAGAGAUUUCUGCAAAUUCAAGUUUCAGUAGAAGUCAAAACUACAAUUCAUCUUUGAGUAGAGACAACUCCUCUGUUCUGGGGAAAUCUCUUGAACAGGCCUUUUGGUUCUGCAGAUGUGAAGCCUACACCACUUGGAAACAAAGAUGUUUAGGGAAGAGCUGUGUAAUAAUGGGCUCCAGAAGCUGCCUUUGCCUGGUGGCAGCCCCACUGCACAGCCCCCUCCAUGAAGUCGCUCUUGGUCUGGGGGCUUCUCAGACUCACCAGAGGGACUUUAAAAAUAUAUGCCAUUUCGAAGCCCCAGGUGCAGAGAUACUGAUUGGUGAGAUCUGCCGUGGAGGGGGAGGCCCAUGCAGAUAUAUUUAGUAAAAGCUCCCCUGGGCGUGUGAGAAUAGUGUACCUUCAUGACUGUGUGCGCAUGUGCGGCCACGUGCAUUUUCUCCUUUCCCGCAAACAUUCAUGGACGAGAGCAUCUCGGUCUCCCAAAGAUUGCGUCAGAGGAUGGGCUUUAAUGCCUGACAAACUGCAGGAGAGUCAAUAAGACAGACUUGGCCUGGGCUUAGUGCAGCCCAUGUAGACAAAGCUGUGUGUGCCCCCCUACACUGGGUGUUGCCGCACUAACGAGCCCUAACUGUGGGAAAGGUACAAAGUCACUAGAUUUGACAUGUCUUAGCCAUUGACCUACUGCAGACCACAGAGUCACCCAGGAGAAAGAGGUGGGGUAUCCCCAAGAAGAGAGUACUCCCCAAGAAGGACUGCUGUCAGCCAUCCAGCAGAAGGUCAUUCCUGGGGCAGGAAAUGAGACCAGAGGAAACUGAGAGCUUAGGGAGCUAGAAGAGGAACACCACUUUGCUGGACGGUCUGCCAUGACCGGACUUUACACACAUUAUUUCUAACCCUCAAAGAGUAUGUCGAGUUGAUCCUUGGCUUAACUGGGCCAGAAAAGAGGAGAAAGGAAGAGAAUUAUUCAACUUGUGCCUUUCGCACUCACUGUCCCUAUUUGCCGCAGUUUCAACAGUCCAUAAGGAUAGCGGGAAAUAAAGUUUCUCUCCAUGAAGUGUUAGCAUACGGAACCUCUCUUCCAGCUCUUCUGAGCCAGGAAACAACAGCUACCCUUGGCAGCAGAUGUGAGUUCAGUGUGUUCGAAAGUUCUAUGCGUUCUUACUGUGCACCUUGUCCUGAUUUAAUAAAUUGGCGUCCUGACAUGUCA